AAAAAAUGAAAGAAAACCCAACCACCCUACACCGAAAACAACUCCCCGCCCCACGUUUCUCCGGCGACCUAAUCCUCUCGCGAGCUCACCUCUCGCGUGUAGAGCUAGUGAGCGUUCCCCACCUCCGUCAACCACCUCGGUCGCCGCUAUCGGCCUCCCCGGUCACCGCCUCCUGGCCGCUCGCGCCCCUCGAUAGCGAUGGGCCGCUAGGUUCCUGCCCGCUGCCACUCUCACUCAAUCCGCUGCUGACAACCCUCGGCCGCCGCUACUCUCACUCAAUCCGCAGCUGACGUCCCUCCUCCGCCACCGCGGCCAUAGAAGGAGGCUAACCCAAGUAGCUAAUGCACGUUCCUCCUUCAGUGCCCCCGCCGUUCCCCUUCGACCUCCC
rnacentral:lncRNA from 1 species